AUGGGGGUGCUGGCGCUGGGGCGGCUCAUCUCCGCGCAGCGGCAGCGGCGGCGGCAGCGGCGGCGGCGUCGCCGGAUACAAGCCCGUGAUGAUCCAGUUCCUUUGUUGGCGAAAAGAGGACGCUCAUCCUGGCAACAAGAUGAUCGUUCAGAGGGUAGGAAAAGAGUUAAAUACUCGAUACCAGACCUUCCACAGAAAAUUUGGCGUCAUAUAAUCUCACUAGUACCAAUGCAAGAUGCUGCUCGUGCUGCCUGUGUCUCUCAUGCCUUUCUACGUUGUUGGAGGUUCUACCCGAACAUUGGAUUUAGUAACUCGACUGUAGGAUGCAAUGGAGUUCUUACAAAGGCUGAAACAGCAAGAAAAUUCGCCAGCAAAGUUAACCAAGUUCUGAAAAACCACUCCGGCAUUGGCUUGAAGACUCUCAAGCUUGAAUUCCUUGGCCACAAUUCCAGCGAUUGUUCUUCUCUCGAUAGCUGGCUUCGGGUUGCUAUUACAUCGGAGAUUGAAGAACUCGGCCUUAUGUUGUCUUCAGAGGUGGCAACAUACAGAUUCCCGUGCUCACUUUUAUCUGGUCUGAGGGGGAACUCGAUUCGGUAUGUACACCUCUCGGGUUGUGUCUUCCGUCCUGUGGUCAGACUCAGCUGUUUCAGAAGCCUGAUGAAUCUGCGCCUGUAUCAUGUGCGUAUCAGUGAGGAUGAGUUAGGAUGCCUUCUUUCCAGUUGUUCUGCUCUGGAGCUAUUUGCAUUUGGGUACUGCAAUGAAAUAACUUGCCUGAAGAUACCCGACAUGCUGCAGCGCCUCAACGACCUACAAGUGGUCGGAUGCAACGCUCUACGAGUGGUAGAGAGCAAAGCUCUGAAUCUCUCCAGUUUUUACUUUGGUGGUAAACAAGGACAAAUCUCACAUGGAGAGCAAUUGAAGAACUUAACAAUGCUGCAUCCACAUGCCCUCGAUAAUGCUCAUGCCAUGCUUCAGACUACUAUCCCGAAUCUUGAAACUCUUGACAUAAGUUUGCGUCUCAAGGCUGAUACCCCCAUGAUGCAUAGCCAAUUCCUCCGCAUUAAGUACCUGAGGAUAACUGUUGAUGGAUAUGCAUUUCCUCGUAUCAAUGAUUAUAUUUCCCUGGUUCCUUUUCUGGAUGCUUCUCCUUGCUUGGAGUCCUUUUUCUUGCAAGCAGCAGAACCCAUGGAGCACGAGUCGAUUUUCAGAGAUCCCUCUCCUCUGAGGCGGAUGCCAGGACACCGCCAUGACAAGCUGAAGAGUGUGAAGAUAACCGGCUUCAAAUCUGCAAAGAGCUUGAUUGAGCUAACGCUUCAUAUCAUCGAGAAUGCAGGGUCGCUACAGUCCCUCACAUUGGACACCGCUGAUUGUUCUCGUAGAUGUUCUGACAGCGACAUGGACAGUUGCUCUACCUUGGGCCAGAGUACUCUCAUGGAAGUUCCUAGAGCGCUCUUUGCUAUCCGAAGGUACGUGGAGGGCAUAGUUCCGUCCACCAUGAAGCUGGAUGUUCUGGAGCCUUGCGCCCGCUGCUGCAAUGCUUCUUGA
rnacentral:rRNA from 1 species